AAAUUGAAGAGUUUGAUCAUGGCUCAGAUUGAACGCUGGCGGCAGGCCUAACACAUGCAAGUCGAACGGUAGCACAGAGAGCUUGCUCUCGGGUGACGAGUGGCGGACGGGUGAGUAAUGUCUGGGAAACUGCCCGAUGGAGGGGGAUAACUACUGGAAACGGUAGCUAAUACCGCAUAACGUCGCAAGACCAAAGUGGGGGACCUUCGGGCCUCACACCAUCGGAUGUGCCCAGAUGGGAUUAGCUAGUAGGUGGGGUAACGGCUCACCUAGGCGACGAUCCCUAGCUGGUCUGAGAGGAUGACCAGCCACACUGGAACUGAGACACGGUCCAGACUCCUACGGGAGGCAGCAGUGGGGAAUAUUGCACAAUGGGCGCAAGCCUGAUGCAGCCAUGCCGCGUGUAUGAAGAAGGCCUUCGGGUUGUAAAGUACUUUCAGCGAGGAGGAAGGCGUUGUGGUUAAUAACCACAGCGAUUGACGUUACUCGCAGAAGAAGCACCGGCUAACUCCGUGCCAGCAGCCGCGGUAAUACGGAGGGUGCAAGCGUUAAUCGGAAUUACUGGGCGUAAAGCGCACGCAGGCGGUUUGUUAAGUCAGAUGUGAAAUCCCCGGGCUCAACCUG
rnacentral:rRNA from 1 species